CGUUACACAUAGUCUGCAGAGCCCCAUUCAUACUGGAUAAAUUUUAGUCGCAUCCGGUCCGUCAAAUGUCUUAUGAUCUAUAGAGCCCUUUUGAUUUUUCUAUGGCAACAUUUGCUAUGCUGACGUCAUUGCCACGUCAUUACUGUCAGUCAGACAGAAAUAAAAGAAAAAUGGAUGCCGUUCAGACGUACACGCAUUAUUUGGAACUGAAAAUUACGUAAUUUAUCGACCUGCUGGCUUGUAUUUGUUAUAAAUCAUAAAAAAAUUAUGGAAAACAUCAUGAACAAUAAUGAAACAAACCGAACCUUUAGCUACAAUAAUAAAAUGACCCCAUGACGCCAGUGGAACUACGUGGUUUUCUUUCAUGAUGAUUUGAUGAUACCAUAAUGGAAUUAGCCAAGUUUUCGCCCAACCCUCGUGACCUCGCUCCACCAGCUCAAACCUGCCAGUCGCAGCUCAUUUUUCGACGGACCGCUUCCAUGAGUAGACAAGGCACCGACGAUCACGGCUUGCAUCACCUGUACUGCUUCGUAAUAUAGCAUGCUGAACAAUGCUGCCAUUAUACUAGGAUCAACGUCCUGCCCCUUCCCCGGCUGUGUACAAAUUGGAACUCCAUUGGCAUGCCCCUUUGACUGAGCAACUUGUGUGUGCUCGAAACACAUUCAAUUGCAACAAAAUGACUCCCAGGCUGACCUGGCUCAGCUCUUGUAUGUCUGAUCUACAUAGACAAUGGUUUCAAUGAAAGAGUGAAAAUUCUUCUCCAUGUACAAUCACUUCCAACGCCUACACUGACUACACCAAAUAUGAUCAUCACUCAACGUGUCUCACAUCAAGAUACUUUUCAAAAGUCAUCGAGAAGAGGAACAUAAUAUCUUUUUUCCCAUUGUUGCCUGAAAAAGUUACUUCUCUAUUCUAUUUUUCCUGCAUGGAGUGGCGCUUUUCCGUCUAAUGGA